CGAAGGUCAAGACGAACAGCUCCGAGUCGACUAUUUUCCAGAAGAACUGAAACAAGGCAACGCCUCCAUAAUCAUCAGAAAUACAACGAGGGCUGACAGUGGAUACUACGACUAUAGUGUUCCAGUAUGAUAAUGGAAAUCUUAACAGUGACGAGGAUCCAGGUCAGAGUGAAGAGUUCAAAGGUCGAGUCUCUCAUUUUCCAGAUGAACUGGAACACGGCAACGCCUCCAUAACCAUCAAAGAAACAAAGAUGGCUGACAGUGGAAUGUACAGCUGUGAAUUUCUAUCACUUCAGAA